rnacentral:misc_RNA from 1 species
AGAUUUUUUACAAGUGUUUGGAGGGUCAUGGCUACUCAUUGUCCCUCCUUCCUCCACUUCUAUACACCUAUUUAAGACUUUUUACAAGCGUUUGGGACGACCAAGACUCCCCCUUGUCCCCCUUCUCUCAGCCACUGAUCAUCAUAUGACAGUAACAUCUUAAAGUUUCUGCUCUGAAGACCAAAAUUCAGCCAUUCCGCUGACAGGAACAAGGACGCUAGAGGAUGGAUUAGCAAAGGAGUUGGCAAUCAACAGUCAACAAAACUAUCCAAAUUCCAAGGAGAAUAGGUUUAGUUAAAUUUUAAUGAGAAUUUCAGCAAGAAAACAUAAACCCUAAGACUAAUCGAUCAUUGUUCUCUAAGUUGCAGAGUGGACAUAAUACAAGUAUAUAGAAUCUCAUCUUCCUCCACAAUUAGCUUGCAUCUAAUGAAACUCCCUUU